AAAUUCUGACUGUACAGCUAGGAGCUAUUAUCAUGUGGCAGUAUAUCAAACUCUUUCUUUCUAAUCGACAGUAUACAAGAACUCAAGGAUUCAAUUCUUCAAAACCAAGUAAAGCUUCUAGUGAUUGAUAGUAUGACAGCUCUUCUUUCAGGUGAAAACAAACAAGGAGCUCAGAGACAGCAUCAGUUGGGUUGGCAUAUUUCUUUCUUAAAAUCGCUUGCUGAAUUUUCUCGGAUUCCUAUAGUGGUGACUAAU